rnacentral:lncRNA from 1 species
GUCUUAUAAAAUUUUAUUUAUUUUUUAAUAGUAUUUGAGAACUUUAACUGGUCAAUGAUAAAGCUAUGAAAAAUCAAGAGAGAACAUUUUCCCGCCAAAAUUCCAAUGGCUAAUAUCUCGAAAACAACCACAUUGACCCCUAUCAUUUUUUGGCUUUUUUGAUUCCUCAAUUAAUUCCCUAUCAAUACAUACUAGUUUUAUGAAAAGUUAUUUAUUUUGAAACUGAGCAGCGAAC